UGCACAUACCGACUACCGGUCAGCUAGUUGUAUAAUACAAAUGAAUUCUAUUCGCGAGCUCCAACGAAUCCGUUCAUCCCAUUUGUCAUUCCCCAGGGUGAUCGUAAUUCAAAUUAUUGUCGGACCCGGAAUGAUUUAAUUGCUGUCUUUUAACAAUUAACGCGAUGUGACAUGUAUGAACCACCAUGUGAGAAGCUAGAAGCGAUUCUAAUGCAAAGCGAUGAGCAACCCGCAGAUCAAAUUUUAAAUUCCAUUUAACCUUCAAGGAAGAUUUACUAGAUUGUAAAGGAACGAAGCUAUUUGUGUGCACGCGAUUUAGUCGUCAGCGGACUUUGUCGUAUGCGUAAACUGUUAGAGCGAUUUGAACGAAAAAGUGUGUUCUAAUAUAGGUGGAUCCGAAAGAAGCAGCGAAGCGUUGGGCGUCCCCCUGCCCGUUGGACCGAUGACUUGCGGCGAUAUGCUGGGAGAGAUUGGAUGCGGAAGGCGGAGGAUCGUUCAUUGUGGCGGACUAUGGGAGAGGUCUGCAUCCAGCAGUGGAGAGAAACAGGCUGAUUGAUGAUGAUGACUUUACUAGGAACAAAUUGUACAAUGAUAAAAUCCAAAGAAUAGUUAAAGCGCAAUUCGAAUAGCAAUUAUAAAAUCGGUUCAUCAAA